rnacentral:rRNA from 1 species
CUGCAGCCCGAGUGGUGAUCGAUUUUAUUGAGCCUAAAGCGUCCGUAGCCGGACUAGUAAACCCUUAGGUAAAUUGGGCAGCUUAACUGUCCAAAUUCCGAGGGGACUGCUAGUCUUGGGACCGGGAGAGGUCAGAGGUACUCAAGGGGUAGGGGCUAAAUCCUGUAAUCCUUUGGGGACCACCAGUGGCGAAGGCGUCUGACUAGAACGGAUCCGACGGUAAGGGACGAAACCCUGGGGCGCGAACCGGAUUAGAGACCCGAGUAGUCC